GACGAACGCUGGCGGCGUGCUUAACACAUGCAAGUCGAACGGAAAGGCCCUGCUUUUGUGGGGUGCUCGAGUGGCGAACGGGUGAGUAACACGUGAGUAACCUGCCCUUGACUUUGGGAUAACUUCAGGAAACUGGGGCUAAUACCGGAUAGGAGCUCCUGCUGCAUGGUGGGGGUUGGAAAGUUUCGGCGGUUGGGGAUGGACUCGCGGCUUAUCAGCUUGUUGGUGGGGUAGUGGCUUACCAAGGCUUUGACGGGUAGCCGGCCUGAGAGGGUGUACGGCCACAUUGGGACUGAGAUACGGCCCAGACUCCUACGGGAGGCAGCAGUGGGGAAUAUUGCACAAUGGGCGGAAGCCUGAUGCAGCAACGCCGCGUGCGGGAUGACGGCCUUCGGGUUGUAAACCGCUUUCGCCUGUGACGAAGCGUGAGUGACGGUAAUGGGUAAAGAAGCACCGGCUAACUACGUG
rnacentral:rRNA from 1 species